rnacentral:tRNA from 1 species
AGCCCUGUAGUGUUAUAGCACGUCGGACUGCAAAUCCGAAGAAGCAGACUAACCCCUGCCGGGGCUU